rnacentral:rRNA from 1 species
UCCCCCUCCCCCUAUCCUGCCUUUCUCCUUGAUCGCCGCCCCACCCCACCCGGCUUCUUCCCCCGCCGGCGCCGCCCCACCAGCAUCUGGCAUCUUCCACCGCAGGCGCCCUGCACCAGUCGUCUCCCUCCCACCUUCUUCCACCUCAAGGAGACGGGAUCCGGGCCGGCAAAACGUGCCCCUGCGCGGCCACGACCAGCCCCAGCUGCGACAUCCCGGUACAUGGCGGCAUGCUGGGAGAUGGAUCGCGACGGAGCGGCGGUCGUCCAUGCCGUGGCGACGCGGGGUCGCGCUCCUCCUGGAGAUCAGCCCGGCCGGCGGCGCCGGCCAAACCUCUCCUAACCCCGGAUCCACACCUCCCCGGCGGGGAUCAGGUGGAGCGAGGCCGGGUCGAUGCGGGUGGUGCCUGCCUUGCACUGCAGAUCCCCACGGCGGUCCCUCCCCGCGUCGACGAGCACCAUGACUGCGAGAUCUCGCCUGGCCCUCCCUUCCUCUGCUUCCUCUGCUUGCCGGUCAGUGCAGUGCACACGGGCGCCCUUUUGCACUUCUUUUUCGCAGCUCACUUGUUGUUUUCAAAGUGUCCCCUUGCAGUACACUUUGUUGCUCCCUCGCAAGUCUCUCCCCCCCAAUCUGCAGAUCACCGGCAGCGCCCCAUUCCAUGUCGCAGUUUGUUUCGGUCGUCCACACCAUAGAUCAUGGAGCCAUGGUCCAUGCAGUCGAUUUUGCGAGCUGUUACAGUCAACCCCACGGGCACAGGAGGACCUUGGCGUGACCGGGCUAUGGUGGUAUCACGUCAGUAUGCUUACGGCGCUGCCGAUGCACGCAUAGGACCAGGUCGUUGCUGGAGCAGCCCACAUGAUGGGGGCACGCGGCCAUCGUUGACUCCACAAGCAGUACGCUUUGGG